rnacentral:rRNA from 1 species
AUUGAACGCUGGCGGCAGGCCUAACACAUGCAAGUCGAGCGAGCGGCGGACGGGUGAGUAAUGUAUGGGGACUGCCCGAUAGAGGGGGAUAACUACUGGAAACGGUGGCUAAUACCGCAUACUAUCGGAUAACCCAUAUGGGAUUAGCUAGUAGGUGGGGUAAAGGCUCACCAAGGCGACGAUCCCUAGCUGGUCUGAGAGGACGAUCAGCCACACGGGGACUGAGACACGGCCCAGACUCCUACGGAGGCAGCAGUGGGGAAUAUUGGACAAUGGUCGCAAGCCUGAUCCAGCCAUGCCGCGUGUAUGAAGAAGGCCUUCGGGUUGUAAAGUACUUUCAGCGGGGAAGCGUUACCCGCAGAAGAAGCACCGGCUAACUCCGUGCCAGCAGCCGCGGUAAUUC